CCUCCGCCGGAACCAAGGCGGACACGCUGGAAAUAGGGUUAUUUUAUUUCUCCAGAAAAUGUGUCUCUUUCUUCGACAGAGGCCGUAAGGAGGGUGCGUUUUGGAGCGGGAUUUACCUUGCGACGUUCCAAGAACUCGGUUCCCGAGUUACGUUCCAUCUGUCUGGCCCUCCCCGAGUUACCCGCACCUCCUGCCUGCCCUCCUUCUCGUCCGCCCUCCCCGAGAUUUCCCUCGUGGAUUCCUCCCCUUUGUGUGUCUGCGUCCUCGGACAGACUCCCCGGCUCUUCGACCCUUGGAUCCCUUCUCGACUACCAUAUCUGGACACAUCUUGGCUUCAGGCGAUAUACACGGACGGAUUCCUGGAAAGACCACGCUACAACCUCUGACCCCUCUUUGUCUCCUCCCAAACAAAACCUGGUAGCUCGGAAUCUUCUGUCCUGGUCUAGUGUUCCGGUACAGGAGCUGUGAGGCAAGACGCCAUGUCACCCUACAUGG